UUCCCUACUUGCUUCCUACUUCGACUUGACCCCCUAACCAAAUGCCAGCCUUCUCUCCUUUAAUUGUAACAUCCAAAAUCACAUAUUUACAGAGCAUGUCGAUCAUAAUGCUUGAGGUAUGGAUAAUCGCGAAUAAAGUCACAUAUGGGUACAUGAGAGCAUGAAUAUGGAGAUACAUGACUGGUUUUGUGCGCAUCAUAUGAUGUUAACUGUAUGAAAUAUGUUAUCUAAUUGUAUUGGUCAAUUUGAAAGUGUUAAUUGGUUGGUUAUCGUGUUAACACUCGUUACUCAUGUUUUCUUUUGUAAUGGAAGUGAGGAACAAUGUAUGGUGCAGGUGAAAC